rnacentral:rRNA from 1 species
CCUACGGGUGGCAGCAGUGGGGAAUAUUGGGCAAUGGGCGCAAGCCUGACCCAGCAACGCCGCGUGAAGGAAGAAGUCUUUCGGGUUGUAAACUUCUUUUAUCAGGGACGAAGCAAGUGACGGUACCGUAUGAAUAAGCCACGGACAACUACGUGCCAGCCGCCGCGGUAAGACGUAGGCGGCAAGCGUCAUCCGGUGUUACUGGGUGUAAAGGGCGGGUAGGCGGGAGUGCAAGUCAGAUGUGAAAACUAUGGGCUCAACCCCAGUGCUGCAUUGGAAACUGUACUGCUUGAGUGCUGGAGAGGCAAUCGGAAUUCCGAGUGUAGCGGUGAAAUGCGUAGAUAUAAGGAGGAACACCAGUGGCGAAGGCGGAUUGCUGGACAGUAACUGACGCUGAGGCGCGAAAGCGUGGGGAGCAAACAGGAUUAGAUACCCCAGUAGUC